CCCCGGCCGCACGCUAAAGAAAAGAAAAAAAAACAAACCACAUACACACGUUCCACCUCCACCUCCACUCCCCUUCCCCGAAUCCCUCGCCGCUGAUCCCAUGCCUAUGAACCGCCGCCGCCGACUUCCUCUUGUCUACAGCGUGCACGAACGGCGCGGUGGUGACAAUGAGGGGCAACCUCAACCGGCAGUACACUUCAGGCAAAGGGGCAGCUCGACGCGGGGAGGGAGCAGGAGCGGCGCGGUGGCUACAACGACGGACGGCGGCCCAGGUAGCACUAUCUCCCAACCCUCGCUCCACCCCUUCUUCUCCCGGUAGGCUGUACUCCUCCAAUCCCACCUCCUCCUCUCCCAUUGUGGUUUCUCAAUGCCCGUGCGUUCCCAGUAGAAACAGUAGAAUAUGAAUGGUAUAUAUCAUACAUCAUACGAUUAGAAAUAGUAGAAUGUUCCUGCAACCCAAUCAAGAUAACUAUAAUCCUAUAAAUAUUUGGCAACUUUAGAUGGUAGUAGAGUUGAAAAAAAGAUGUCUAGGGGAUAGGAAAUUGUUCAGAAAGUAUGUGCCACUACUCAAUUUUAUUGCUACCUGAACCAGCAUUGAGCACUCUAGCCCAGGGAAUCAAUUUGGUAAGAGUAGAUAUCAACAACUAUAUUCAGGAUUUGAGUUGACUAAAUUCAGUUGAUUAAAAUAUGUCGAAUUUGGUUCCUGAAUAAAAGUCACAUCUCAAGUUCGGCAUCUUCUAGCUUCCUAGACCGAACACUUUUUUUAGGUUACAAUAGUAUCCGCUUCAAAAAAUAUCCUCCAAUAAUCUGGGCUGGAAUAGUCACUUGUUACCACGCACACCAAUUAAUACUCGAGAUUUGCAGAAGACAAGAUUUGAGUGAUCGUCGUUUAUAUAUAUCCUCAAUUUAUUUGAUGAAGAUUUGUCUUCCAUGUAAAGUUGGAUUGGGGAGGAGAAGAUAGGUGGUGGAGGAAGAAGUACAAGACUGAUCAUGGUAUCAACGAUGUUGCUUGAUGUUGCUUGAUAUGCAUAUAAGGAUUUAAAUUACUUGACCCAUUUGUUCACCACCCAAUUUUUAACAUUUGGAAUCUGAGAUGCCAGGGAAUAUCCAGGGUACAUCUUUUCUUGGAGUCCAAUUGAUUCGGUGGUGGUCAUCUGAGAUGUCAGAUUAGCAUAAGCUGCCCCUUGUUCUUUUUUGUUUGAAGCAGAUUUGUUGGUUCCGAAUUUUGUUGGCACGUGUUGCGCUGUAUUGAUGCUGGUCUUGUUCUGUUUACAGUGACACGUGAAUAUGUAUCGAAAUUUGUCGUACAAAAUAAAGGAGCACUCAGGACGAUGAUUUCCAUCUUGGCCUGGAUGAUGCUGGUUCGGCGGUGACCUCUGAUAUGUCAUGUUAGCUCAAAAUGUUAUGUUUCUUUUCUUGUGGUAUAAUAUUUUGUGAUUCUUCAUUAGAUUCCUCUGUUCUUACAGGGUGUGUGUCUUGUUAUGUUGGGUUUGCUGUGAUUGGGGUGCGGCAACAUGGAGACCGUGGGCAAUGCUUCUUACAUGCAUGCUAGGCAAUUUUGACUGGUGCGGCGGUGCCGGAACCACCUCCGCAGGGUACAACAGAUGUGGCCAUGCUUGAAGUCAGAAUCACCACGUUGACUGUAGUGGCCACACCCAGGUAUGCAGAUUGGGCAUCAAAGUUGACGACAAGGGAUUACAAGCUACCACAUUCUGCACCUUAGUCCAUGGACAACUUAAAAUUUGAUUGAUACUUUCCAUUUUAUACUGAUGUAAUCGCCAGCGAGAACAAUUUGUUAUAACUGAACACUACGACGAAUCUGAUAUAGUGUUAUUUGCCUCAGGAGGGUAAGAAACAAUAAAAUUGUUGACAAGGUAUUAGCAUAAUAUAGACAUCAUUUUAUGCUAUGUUUUGAAGUAAAUGGUGGAAAUGUCUGUAUAUUUCUCUCCCAACAUGUUAUGGUCAUCUUAUUUCCAUGCAUAUAAAAUUUCAUGCCCAGUUUCUUAGCUUAGCAGCUAAUGGUUUCUCACCUAUCUAAUUGUCUAGCUUGUUUGACCAGGUGUUGUAGUUAUCCAAGAAAUCAUGUGACCAUCUCCCGCUGUUCAAUAUUAUAUAUAUUUGGCCAUCCUGCUAUUGAUGUGUGCCUACACCCUACAGUAUACGGUUGUUUUCCCGGGCAUUAUGGCAGUGAAAUUCUAGGUACAACAAGGUAUUGUUCUGAGGCCAGGUUGUUUUCUAUUUGAUGUUGUGAAUAGUUCUUCAUGUUUUCAGUAGCAUUUCACUAAUUAAACUCAUUUGGAAGGUUUAAGGAAAAUAUCUCAUCUCUCAUUAGCAAACUGCACUGGGAUAUCUUGGACCUAUUCUCCACACUUUUUAGCUAAAUUUGUUACCACCAUAUGUUUAAAAUUUUGUGUUGGCCCUGAAAUUUGGAGGAAUUGUUAGAUAUGCUGGUGAACAGGCCAGCGGCGCUAGAUAAGGCCGGGCAAGAGAGCAUGAGGGAGAAUGCCGAAGGGGGCAAAAUAAAUGGGAGUUCACCGUUAUGCUCAUGUGGUCCGCAAAUAGAGCAUGGAUACCAGGCCUCCAUCGUCUUCUAUGAACAUCAGAGUAGAGGAGAAGUGAUGAUGGGCAUCAGACCAAUGGAGAUGAAGAGGAAGAAAGAGAAGAAAGAAAGGUGGUCUGGGGUGGGCAGUGUCCUAUGUGAUAGACUGCCCGGACGCGUCUGGAGCCUGCAUAUCCUCUUCAUAUUUUGUGCACAUACAAGGGUUUGUGAACAACUUGAUCGUAUAGCGAUGAUAUGAGCUGUAUGGUUGGGUCACCUCUUUUCCUUCUCUUUCAUGUUUGUGGAGGAUUUGAUAGGGAGGGUUAUAGAUGCUCUAACAUUAUUGUUGUGUUAGCUGAGAUGACACUGUUUUCAAUUAUUUUAGCUAGCUCUAUCAUCAGCAUCUUAGUUUCUUUUUAAAAGCCCGUGCGUUGGGCGUUCUACUAGUAAA